UGGCCUAAGGAGCCUGAGGUCUGGCUGGAUCCUGGGCACCUUACUCCCUCUCUGUCAGUUGGGCAGGGUCUGAGGAUCUGGCCUAGAGGGCACCGCUAGCUGAGAUCUGCCUCUUCAGCCAGGCCUGGGUGCUAAUGGGAGGACCCAGAUUGGGUGAAGGACAAAUGCUCCCAGACAGGAUGAUCAGCCGGUGCUCUGCCCCUCUCCCCUUAGCCAGGAUCUAGACCUCAGAGGGUGAAAGUCCAUGCUUGGGACCUGGAACAAGUAAGACCAAAGAUAAAAAGAUGCAGAACAGAGAACAACAUUUGUUUUGACUGCGGUUUACAGGAACAUUGUGAGCUGACCCACAUGGACAGCUGCAAGAACAAAGUAUCAACCACCAGGAAGUUUGCAACAACUAACCACAUCCCUCCCUCAUCUUUCCUCUAACAGGGCUUUGCUGAAAACCUUGGAGGAGUUUGAGUUUCUAAGGCAUGAGCCCCCUGUCUCUUUACAUGGCCUUGCAAUAAACCUCUCAUUUCAGUUU